UUUGGGUGCUAUGUUGCUUUGAAUGAAAGCUUCUACUAAAUCAUUAUACAUACACUUAUUUGACAUACUCUGAUCAAUAUAAUUACAGUAAAUUCCCUUUGAGAAAAGGUCCAAAGUGCUUUGUAGUUGUCAUACCCAGUACAAAUAUCUUCAAUAUUCCCGCUGUACACAUUUCUAAAUACGCAAAGAAUGGAAUGCAAGACAUUAAGUGCUGUUCUCUGGAGUCUGACUGGAUCUACUUCCAUCGUGAUGACUCAGGAAUAAUCAUCCAUGUUGCACCAUAAAGUGAGUCUAAAACCCCCCAACACAGUUGUCCACAAGACCAUGCAGUCACUGCGGCAUUAUGGUAUUUAGGUCAGUGCUAUUCAUCAGUCAGAUUUCACACAAUGAUAUUUCUCCUAUACCUUGUCUGAAUCUUGAAAUACUUUCCCCUUGUGUGCUGAAAAUUCUGAGUGAACUGGAGAGUGAGUCACAGUUCGAUAUAGUGAAGGAGUUUCCCAUCACAGCUCAUCGAGAUGAUGUGAGUUAACAUAGUGUUUUGGCACCUUUUUAUCCAUUGGUCAUAAUACAUUUUCUCCAUCAUAGAGAUAUGAGGGUUAAAAGUGCCUUUCUUGCUGUACUGGAUUCAUAAAACACCUCCAUAGGCUACCUCCCAGAUCAGUAUCACAAGUGUGUGGUGUGAAAUAGGAAUGUGUUUUUUGCAUAUCCUGUGAAGAGUUUACACAAAUAUUAGCCUCUUAGCUCUUAUUGCGGGACCUUGAAACCACUGAAACGAGCAACAUUAAACUCACCAGUCAGCAUAUUGUUGCUCAUUUCAGUGGUUUCAAGGUCCCGCAAUAAGAGCUAAGACGCUAAUAUUUGUGUAAACUCUACAUAGUUGUGUUCUGUGAGUGUCACUGAGUAGGUAAUGAUUAAAACCGGGUGCCAAUUGAAUUCGGCCAUUCCUCCAUCCCAUGCUAAAUCUUACUUGAAGUAGAAUACCCAUCUCAAAACAAAAAUUAUCCAAACAAAACCGACGGACACAGCAGCGGACAGCGCGAACAGGAAUUGCUUGAAAUUCUUCAUCGCCAACACUGGAAAGGUUGCCUCACUGAAGUUAAUACAUUCUGGAUGGUGGAGAAUGAGCUUGACCUUCUGGCUAUUGUGGAGGUGACCCACAGAGAGGAUGAGGGGAAAGCCCACGUUAGACUCCACGACAACAACACUGGCGCAUUACUGAAGAGGGUUCCGCUUGUGGAGUCAUGGGAUGUGACUUACAGCUACAAUUUGUUCUUUGACAGAGAUACAAUUCUUUAUAUUGAACAGAUUAAGAAUAAUAACUUUUGCUGCCAUGUCUACAAAAUCAUCAGUCGUGGACAAGCAGAUGAGUGAAAUGAUCACCUGAAGCUGGGAUAAAUCAUGGGACAUUCCUUCCAACUGCUAAUUAUGUAAUUAAAAAAUAUUCCUAAAGUAAAUAGCCCUGUUGAAUAUGUUUUUCUACUUAUUUUUUCCCGCUUAUUUCUUUGCCAAUAAUGACUACAUGUUGUCAUCCUGUUCUUUUCAAGAUGU